AAGGUCUUAGCUUAAUUAAAGCAAUUGAUUUGCACUCAAUAGAUGUAGGAUAUAGUCUUAUAGUCUUUA
rnacentral:tRNA from 1 species